UACGUAGGGGGCAAGCGUUGUCCGGAUUUAUUGGGCGUAAAGAGCGUGUAGGCGGCCUGGAAGGUCAGCUGUGAAAACUCGAGGCUCAACCUCGAGACGUCGGUUGAAACCAUCUGGCUAGAGUCCGGAAGAGGAGAGUGGAAUUCCCGGUGUAGCGGUGAAAUGCGCAGAUAUCGGGAAGAACACCCGUGGCGAAGGCGGUUCUCUGGGCCUGUACUGACGCUGAGGAGCGAAAGCGUGGGGAGCGAACAGG
rnacentral:rRNA from 1 species